UUCGUAGGCGGUGCGGCAAGUUGGGAGUGAAAUCUCUGGGCUUAACUCAGAGGCUGCUUUCAAAAACUGCCGUGCUCGAGUGCGAGAGAGGUCAGUGGAAUUGCAGGUGUAGCGGUGAAAUGCGUAGAUAUCUGCAGGAACACCCGUGGCGAAGGCGGCUGACUGGAUCGCAACUGACGCUGAGGAACGAAAGCUAGGGGAGCAAACAGGAUUAGAUACCCUGGUAGUCCUAGCCCUAAACCAUCAGAACUUGGGGUGGCCCGCGUAGGCGGGUCGUCCCGUAGCUAACGCGUUAAGUUCUGCGCCGUGGGGAGUACGGUCGCAAGACUAGAA
rnacentral:rRNA from 1 species